rnacentral:rRNA from 1 species
UACGGAAGGCAGCAGUGGGGAAUAUUGCACAAUGGGCGAAAGCCUGAUGCAGCUAUGCCGCGUGUAUGAAGAAGGCCUUAGGGUUGUAAAGUACUUUCAUCGGGGAGGAAAAACAAAACUAAUAAUUUUAUUUCUUGACGUUACCCGAAAAAGAAGCACCGGCUAACUCCGUGCCAGCAGCCGCGGUAAUACGGAGGGUGCUAGCGUUAAUCAGAAUUACUGGGCGUAAAAGAGCACGUAGGUGGUUUUUUUAAGUCAGAUGUGAAAUCCCUGGGCUUAACCUAGGAACUGCAUUUUUGAAACUGAAAUACUAGAGUAUCGUAGAGGGAGGUAGAAUUCUAGGUGUAGCGGUGAAAUGCGUAGAUAUCUGGAGGAAUACCUGUGGCGAAAGCGGCCUCCUAAACGAAUACUGACACUGAGGUGCGAAAGCGUGGGGAGCAAACAGGGAUUAGGAUACC